rnacentral:rRNA from 1 species
UACGUAGGGGGGCUAGCGUUGUCCGGAAUCAUUGGGCGUAAAGCGCACGUAGGCGGAUUUGUAAGUCAGGGAUGAAAUCCCGGGGCUCAACCUCGGAACUGCCUUUGAUACUGCAAAUCUCGAGUCCGGAAGAGGUGAGUGGAAUUCCUAGUGUAGAGGUGAAAUUCGUAGAUAUUAGGAAGAACACCAGUGGCGAAGGCGGCUCACUGGUCCGGUACUGACGCUGAGGUGCGAAAGCGUGGGGAGCAAACAGG